UCGAAACGAGAAUUUUGACACCAAUUUUAAAGAAAUCGGUCCAAGAUUGGACCGAACAGGCCGAACCGGUUAAACCGGACCCAAACCGGGUUGUGGGCCCAAUUAGUCCAACAAUUAAAAAGAGCCACGGCUCUUAUUCUCUUCAUUUCCCUCAACGACGCAGCAAGCCUCCCAGGGAAGAGAAGAAGAGGAAUUCGUUUACGGUGAAUUCAAUAUCCCGUAACUUCUCCGUUCGAGCUCCAAUCGCCGCACCGUUUGCGGCCACGCGUUCACCGCGUCGAGCUCUACGUUUCUAUCGGAACAAUUUCACUGGAUUCAAUUAGCUUGAGAGAAACGUUCACUCUUACUUAUGUGAAGCUUGGGUAAGGUUGUGAAUAAAUAAUUUGACCUUGAAAUUGUGAAUAUUGGAACUUGGAGGAAGCGGAUUAGUUGAG